rnacentral:rRNA from 1 species
GAGACGAACAGACUACGGUCUGGAAGUCAUCGAUGCCACGCUUCCAGGAAAAGCCUCUAAGCUUCAGAUCACAUGCGACCGUACCCCAAACCGACACAGGUGGUCAGGGUGAGAAUCCCAAGGCGCUUGAGAGAACUCGGGUGAAGGAACUAGGCAAAAUGGCACCGUAACUUCGGGAGAAGGUGCGCCGGCAUAGGGUGACGGACUUCGCGUCCCGAGCUCGAGCCGGUCGAAGAUACCAGGUGGCUGCAACUGUUUAUUAAAAACACAGCACUCUGCUAACGCGUAAGCGGACGUAUAGGGUGUGACGCCUGCCCGGUGCCGGAAGGUUAAUUGAUGGCGUUAGCUCCGGCGAAGCGCUUGAUCGAAGCCCCGGUAAACGGCGGCCGUAACUAUAACGGUCCUAAGGUAGCGAAAUUCCUUGUCGGGUAAGUUCCGACCUGCACGAAUGGCGUAAUGAUGGCCACGCUGUCUCCACCCGAGACUCAGUGAAAUUGAAAUCGCCGUGAAGAUGCGGUGUCCCCGCGGCUAGACGGAAAGACCCCGUGAACCUUUACUAUAGCUUCACACUGGAUGCUGAUGUUGCUUGUGUAGGAUAGCUGGGAGGCUUGGAACCUGGGACGCCAGUCCUAGGGGAGCCGACCUUGAAAUACCAGCCUGGCAUCAUUGGCGUUCUAACUUGGGCCCGUUAUCCGGGUCGAGGACAGUGUGUGGUGGGUAGUUUGACUGGGGCGGUCUCCUCCCAAAGCGUAACGGAGGAGCACGAAGGUACCCUCAGCACGGUUGGAAAUCGUGCAAUGAGUGCAAGAGCAUAAGGGUGCUUGACUGCGAGACAGACACGUCGAGCAGGUGCGAAAGCAGGUUCUAGUGAUCCGGUGGUUCUGUAUGGAAGGGCCAUCGCUCAACGGAUAAAAGGUACUCCGGGGAUAACAGGCUGAUACCGCCCAAGAGUUCACAUCGACGGCGGUGUUUGGCACCUCGAUGUCGGCUCAUCACAUCCUGGGGCUGAAGUCGGUCCCAAGGGUAUGGCUGUUCGCCAUUUAAAGUGGUACGCGAGCUGGGUUUAGAACGUCGUGAGACAGUUCGGUCCCUAUCUGCCGUGGGCGUUGGAGAUUUGAGAAGGGCUGCUCCUAGUACGAGAGGACCGGAGUGGACGCACCUCUGGUGUUCCGGUUGUCACGCCAGUGGCAUUGCCGGGUAGCUAUGUGCGGACGGGAUAACCGCUGAAAGCAUCUAAGCGGGAAGCCCCCUUUAAGAUGAGAUCUCCCCGAGGCCUCGAGCCUCCUGAAGGGCCCA